GAUACAGAUGAUGGUUUCUCUAAUGGUGUGGAGAUUAUGCAUAUUAUUCGUAUAUUCGCGGCUACAGCUACGGUCUCUGUUUGGGACUGUGUAUCCCUCGGUGGUGGCUGCCAGCAAAAUCGGAGAAUUCCGUCAAACGCCGCGUGGUAGGAGCUCUUCUCCACGCCACACAACCCUCGCGGUUCAAUAUUUUAACAGGGCGUCACGAGAAGCGAGACGUGGCUUGCCGUGC
rnacentral:lncRNA from 1 species